rnacentral:rRNA from 1 species
AACGAACGCUGGCGGCGUGCUUAACACAUGCAAGUCGAACGCGAACGGUAUCUUCGGAUACCUAGUAGAGUGGCGCACGGGUGAGUAACGCGUAAAUAAUCUACCCUGAUGUCUGGGAUAACCAGCCGAAAGGCUGACUAAUACCGGCUAUAUGCUUCCCUGUUGGGGGAAUCAGGAAAGGUGGCCUCUUCUUGAAAGCUAUCGCAUUGGGAUGAGUUUGCGUACCAUUAGCUAGUUGGUGGGGUAAUGGCCCACCAAGGCAUCGAUGGUUAGCGGGUCUGAGAGGAUGAUCCGUCACACUGGCACUGGAACACGGGCCAGACUCCUACGGGAGGCAGCAGUGAGGAAUAUUGCGCAAUGGGGGAAACCCUGACGCGGCGACGCCGCGUGAGUGAGGAAGGCCUUCGGGUCGUAAAGCUCUGUCAGUAGGGAAGAAAUGCAUAUAAGUUAAUACCUUAUAUGUUUGACGGUACCUACAAAGGAAGCACCGGCUAACUCCGUGCCAGCAGCCGCGGUAAUACGGAGGGUGCAAGCGUUGUUCGGAAUCACUGGGCGUAAAGGGAGCGCAGGCGGUUUGUCAAGUCAGAUGUGAAAGCCCACGGCUCAACCGUGGAAGUGCAUUUGAAACUGGCAGACUUGAGUUUCAAAGGGGAAAGGGGAAUUCCCGGGUUAGAGGGAAAUUUCGUAAAUAUCGGGAGGAAUACCGGUGGCGAAGGCGACUUUUUGGCUGAAUACUGACGCUGAGGCUCGAAAGCGUGGGGAGCAAACAGGAUUAGAUACCCUGGUAGUCCACGCCGUAAACGAUUUGCACUAGAUGUAGGAGGUAUUGAUCCUUCUGUGUCGCAGCUAACGCAUUAAGUGCACCGCCUGGGGAGUACGGUCGCAAGAUUAAAACUCAAAGGGAAUUGACGGGGGCCCGCACAAGCGGUGGAGUAUGUGGUUUAAUUCGAUGCAACGCGAAGAACCUUACCUGGUCUUGACAUCCCGAGAAUCUCCUGGAAACAGGAGAGUGCUUUCAUUAGAGAGAACUUGGUGACAGGUGCUGCAUGGCUGUCGUCAGCUCGUGUCGUGAGAUGUUGGGUUAAGUCCCGCAACGAGCGCAACCCUCGCCUUUAGUUGCCAUCAGGUUAUGCUGGGCACUCUAGAGGGACUGCCGGUGUUAAACCGGAGGAAGGUGGGGAUGACGUCAAGUCCUCAUGGCCUUUAUGACCAGGGCUACACACGUACUACAAUGGCAUGUACAAAGGGCAGCGAGCACGCAAGUGUCAGCGAAUCCCAUAAAGCAUGUCCCAGUCCGGAUAAGAGUCUGCAACUCGACUCUUUGAAGUUGGAAUCGCUAGUAAUCGUGGAUCAGCAUGCCACGGUGAAUACGUUCCCGGGCCUUGUACACACCGCCCGUCACACCACGGGAGUUGGUUGUUCCAGAAGCAGUUGAGCUAACCUUCGGGAGGCAGGCUGCCAAGGAAUGGCUGGUAACUGGGGUG